UACAGAGGAGGCAAGCGUUGUUCGGAAUCACUGGGCUUAAAGCGCGUGUAGGCGGGAUGCAAGGUACUUUGUGAAAUCCCCCGGCUCAACCGGGGAAUGGCUUGGUAAACCAGCAUUCUUGAGGCAUUCAGAGGCAGGCGGAACCAUGGGUGGAGCGGUGAAAUGCGUAGAGAUCCAUGGGAACACCGGUGGCGAAAGCGGCCUGCUGGGAAUGCUCUGACGCUGAGACGCGAAAGCGUGGGUAGCAAACAGG
rnacentral:rRNA from 1 species